UGGGGAAUUUUGCACAAUGGGGGAAACCCUGAUGCAGCGACGCCGCGUGAUUUAGAAGGCCUUCGGGUUGUAAAAAUCUUUUUUACGGGAUGAAAAUGACAGUACCGUAAGAAUAAGGUCCGGCUAAAUACGUGCCAGCAGCCGCGGUAAUACGUAUGGACCGAGCGUUGUCCGGAAUCAUUGGGCGUAAAGGGUACGUAGGCGGCCUAGUAAGUUAGAAGUUAAAGAAUAUAGCUCAACUAUAUAAAGCUUUUAAAACUGCUAGGCUUGAGAGAUGGAAGGGAAAGUGGAAUUCCUAGUGUAGAGGUGAAAUGCGCAGAUAUUAGGAAGAAUACCGGUGGCGAAGGCGACUUUCUGGUCAUCAUCUGACGCUGAGGUACGAAAGCGUGGGUAGCAAACAGG
rnacentral:rRNA from 1 species